GAUGAACGCUGGCGGCGUGCCUAAUACAUGCAAGUCGAGCGAACAGACGAGGAGCUUGCUCCUCUGACGUUAGCGGCGGACGGGUGAGUAACACGUGGAUAACCUACCUAUAAGACUGGGAUAACUUCGGGAAACCGGAGCUAAUACCGGAUAAUAUAUUGAACCGCAUGGUUCAAUAGUGACAGACGGUUUUGCUGUCACUUAUAGAUGGAUCCGCGCCGCAUUAGCUAGUUGGUAAGGGAACGGCUUACCAAGGCGACGAUGCGUAGCCGGCCUGAGAGGGUGAUCGGCCACACUGGAACUGAGACACGGUCCAGACUCCUACGGGAGGCAGCAGUAGGGAAUCUUCCGCAAUGGGCGAAAGCCUGACGGAGCAACGCCGCGUGAGUGAUGAAGGUCUUCGGAUCGUAAAACUCUGUUAUUAGGGAAGAACAAAUGUGGAAGUAACUAUGCACGUCUUGACGGUACCUAAUCAGAAAGCCACGGCUAACUACGUG
rnacentral:rRNA from 1 species